UGAAAAGGGAUAAUAAACAAGUCACAUUUU
rnacentral:piRNA from 1 species